UACGAAGGGGGCUAGCGUUGUUCGGAUUUACUGGGCGUAAAGCGCACGUAGGCGGAUCGUUAAGUCGGGGGUGAAAUCCUGGAGCUCAACUCCAGAACUGCCUUCGAUACUGGCGAUCUUGAGUCCGGAAGAGGUGAGUGGGAACUCCUAGUGUAGAGGUGGAAUUCGUAGAUAUUAGGAAGAACACCAGUGGCGAAGGCGGACUCACUGGUCCGGUACUGACGCUGAGGUGCGAAAGCGUGGGGA
rnacentral:rRNA from 1 species